UAACGAUCUGGGCACUGUCUCAGCCAUGAGCUCGGUGAAAUUGUAGUAUCGGUGAAGAUGCCGAUUACCCGCAACGGGACGGAAAGACCCCGUGAACCUUUACUAUAGCUUCACAUUGGUAUUGGGUAAUUCAUGUGUAGGAUAGGUGGGAGACUUUGAUGCUGCGUCGCUAGGCGUAGAGUAGUCGUUGUUGAAAUACCACCCUUGAAUUAUCUGAUGCCUAACCCGAUGAGGGGACAUUGUGUGGUGGGUAGUUUGACUGGGGUGGUCGCCUCCAAAAGAGUAACGGAGGCUCCUAAAGGUACCCUCAACACGUUUGGUAAUCGUGUGUAGAGUGUAAUGGCAUAAGGGUGCUUGACUGCGAGAGUGACAACUCGAGCAGGUGCGAAAGCAGGUCAUAGUGAUCCGGUGGUUCUGAAUGGAAGGGCCAUCGCUCAAAGGAUAAAAGGUACUCCGGGGAUAACAGGCUGAUACCGCCCAAGAGUUCAUAUCGACGGCGGUGUUUGGCACCUCGAUGUCGGCUCAUCUCAUCCUGGGGCUGGAGCAGGUCCCAAGGGUUUGGCUGUUCGCCAAUUAAAGCGGUACGUGAGCUGGGUUUAGAACGUCGUGAGACAGUUCGGUCCCUAUCUGCCGUGGGUGUCGGAAAAUUGAGAGGAGCUGCCCCUAGUACGAGAGGACCGGGGUGGACGUAUCUCUGGUGGACCUGUUGUUGCGCCAGCAGCAUAGCAGGGUAGCUAUAUACGGAAGGGAUAACCGCUGAAUGCAUCUAAGCGGGAAGCCCCCCUCAAAACCAGUUUUCCCUUGAGAGUCGUGGAAGACCACCACGUUGAUAGGCCAGAUGUGGAAGUGCG
rnacentral:rRNA from 9 species